rnacentral:lncRNA from 1 species
GAGUUCAAUCAAGUUUCAAACAAGAAAUAAAUCUUCAGUCCGAAUCUUUUUGGACAAAAUAAUUAAAUCAUAAUGUUAUAAUUAAAAUUAUAAUACAUGAUUUCUUCAAUAAAUUAAAUUUCAAACACACUCACGGUACGGACAUAAUGGUCAUUGUAAUAUUUGAAAAUUAAACCACAACGAGCAAUGAUCAUCACACUUGGAGUACAGCCAUUAUUCACCUAAUAUAAGUCAAAUAAGGUUUAUAUUACAUAAUUACUACUUUUGGGAAUGAACUAAAUCAACUAAAAGUUAACAGAAUUCAACAUAAAAUUAAAUCGACAAAAAUGAUAACAAUAGCAAGUUACUUGGUAUAGAUUAUUGACUUAGGUGAUUAAAUGCUAAUCUAAAAUGUUAAUCCAAGCAUACAAAUGUCAAUCCUUAGGGCUAGUAUCACUAACUUAUGCUAACACACUUCCAUGGUAAUAAUUAUAUAUAAUUAUACAAUUGACAUA